GACUAGAGCAAACAUCAGACCAGAUCCCGUCUGAAAACCAAAUGGCCACAAAGAAGGGUGCUGAGGCCGGGGCUGUUUGAAUGCAGAGGACACGUUUGACGAUGGCACUGCCAGGAGACGGGACCACGGGUGUGGGGCUGUGGGCUCAGACACCCUCACCCAGGAGACGCAUGCUCGAGGCAGCACUUGGGUGUGAGGCAUCACGGCCGACCCGCACGGGGCCCGGAGAGGACGCAGUGCUCCUUGUGUGACUCACAACUUUCCUGAAGAGACCAGCGUCUUGAGCCCAAACCAGCUCCACACCCCACCCAGAGGCAGGAGGUCCUGAGACCAGCCCCAUGGCCUGGCCUCAGCCCACCCACCAUGGGUGGCAGGUGCUCACCUGGCCGGAGGGGCGGUACGCGCGGAGCUUGCGCAGAGAGGCCGUGGCGUAGCACAGCAGCAGGAGGACGCCGGGGCUGGCAUACACAGGCCAGUCCAGGCCGGUGUUGAGGACCAGCGCGUGGGGGCUGGAGCAGUUGGUGGGACCCACGAAGUCCUUGAGACCCAGCACCCUGUCCAGAGAAGACCCGUCACAGCCUACCACCCCAGAGGCAGUGGGGCCACAGGGGCUAGACGAGCCAGGUGGGCGGGACCAGGGUGGCAGGAAAAAGGGGCUGUGUGGCAAGCCGUUACCUAGCCCAGAUGCCGGCAGGCGGGAGCAGAGCCUGUGCCAAGGGCAUCUGGUAGCAGUAGAGGCAGAUGAGAUGGCCGGCGCCGAAGCACCCCACCGCGACGCAGAGUCUGCUGAAGCCCCGAGUGCUGAUGGGAAAGUGGCAGGCCCACCAGGUGCAGAGGGCCAGGAAGAGCAGCAGUCAUCAGGGAACUCCCAAGACCCCUCCCAGUGUGACUGCCAGUGCCCCCUGCCUCGGUGCGUACCUGCCAGUGCAAGCAGUGUUACGGCCAGGACCCGCCCAGCCGCCACCAGCAGCCAGUGGGCCGUGACUCGGAAACGAGCGGCCAGCCGUGACCUCCGUGUAGGGGCCAGCGUUGCUGCUUCCUGCAGCCCUGCCGUCGGGCUGGCAUCCACAUCCCUCUCAUCAUCAUCCUGCCAAGGUCACGGACAGGGGCAAGGUCAGGUGUAUCGCACUGACGCCACCUCUCCAGCCCACACCUGCCCAGCCAGGAGCGUGGGAGGCGGCCACAUCCACAGCUGCUCCUCUGAGGGCCACAGGACAGCCUCCCCGGGCACAGGCCCCAGCCGUCCCUGAGGUCUGCCUGACACCUUCCUACUUCCUCACUCAAGCUCACAGUUCCUGCAGGCCUUCCUGGUAGCAGCUCCCACCCUGGCCGAAGACCCAGGGUCUGUCCUGCCAAGCCCAGGCACGUGAUGACCUUGCCAGGUACAGACAGACCACAGACUGUCCUAUACCACCUCAUCUCCCCGAACCACGCACCCAGGGAGCAGCGGGGCCCUGUCUAUACCCCGGGGGGUCUCUAGAGACCAAGGGGGCCUGAGGGACAUGGCCAGGCUCCAGGGUCUCCUGUGUACCCCUGCCA
rnacentral:lncRNA from 1 species